CCUACGGGUGGCAGCAGUGAGGAAUAUUGGUCAAUGGACGAGAGUCUGAACCAGCCAAGUAGCGUGAAGGAUGACUGUCCUAUGGGUUGUAAACUUCUUUUAUAUGGGAAUAAAACGUUCCACGCGUGGCAUUUUGUAUGUACCAUAUGAAUAAGCAUCGGCUAACUCCGUGCCAGCAGCCGCGGUAAUACGGAGGAUCCGCGCGUUAUCCGGAUUUAUUGGGUUUAAAGGGUGCGUAGGUGGAUUUUCAAGUCAGCGGUAAAAGUUGGGGGCUCAACCUCAGAGUGCAGUUGAAACUGGUGGUCUUGAGUGCGCUAGAAGUAUGCGGAAUGCGUGGUGUAGCGGUGAAAUGCAUAGAUAUCACGAAGAACUCCGAUUGCGAAGGCAGUACACUGGAGUGCAACUGACACUGAGGCACGAAAGUGUGGGUAUCGAACAGGAUUAGAUACCCGAGUAGUC
rnacentral:rRNA from 1 species